AUGAACGCUAGCGGCAGGCUUAACACAUGCAAGUCGAGGGGCAGCGAGGGUAGCAAUACCUGUCGGCGACCGGCGGAAGGGUGAGUAACGCGUGAGCAACAUACCCGUAUCAGUGGGAUAAUACAGGGAAACUUGUUCUAAUAUCGCAUAAUAUUAUUCAGAGGCAUCUUUGGAUAAUUAAAGUUACGGCGGAUACGGAAUGGCUCGCGUGACAUUAGCUAGAUGGUAGGGUAAUGGCCUACCAUGGCGAUGAUGUCUAGGGGUUCUGAGAGGGAGGUCCCCCACACUGGAACUGAGACACGGUCCAGACUCCUACGGGAGGCAGCAGUGAGGAAUAUUGGACAAUGGAUGGAAAUCUGAUCCAGCCAUGCCGCGUGCAGGAAGGCGGCCCUAUGGGUUGUAAACUGCUUUUGUACGGGAGCAAUAAGGUCUACGAGUAGAUUGAUGAGAGUACUGUACGAAUAAGCAUCGGCUAACUCCGUG
rnacentral:rRNA from 1 species